ACAUACGACCAUAGACUCAAGAGAAUUGGGCAUCCCGUCCGCUCUGCCAUACACAAGCUUGAGAUCGGUGGAUUAGUAGUUAGAUCGGUGGAUUAGCACAAGCUUGAGAUCGGUGGAUUAGUAGUUGGGUGGGUGACCACCAGCGAAUACCCACUGUUGUAUGUU
rnacentral:rRNA from 1 species